UUUUAUUUGAGAGUUUGAUCCUGGCUCAGGAUGAACGCUGGCGGCGUGCCUAACACAUGCAAGUUGAGCGAUUUACUUCGGUAAAGAGCGGCGGACGGGUGAGUAACGCGUGGGUAACCUACCCUGUACACACGGAUAACAUACCGAAAGGUAUGCUAAUACGGGAUAAUAUAUUUGAGAGGCAUCUCUUGAAUAUCAAAGGUGAGCCAGUACAGGAUGGACCCGCGUCUGAUUAGCUAGUUGGUAAGGUAACGGCUUACCAAGGCGACGAUCAGUAGCCGACCUGAGAGGGUGAUCGGCCACAUUGGAACUGAGACACGGUCCAAAC
rnacentral:rRNA from 1 species